rnacentral:SRP_RNA from 1 species
GCUGGGUGUGGUGGCAUACGCCUGUAGUCCCAGCUACUUGGGGGCUGAGGUGGGAGAAUUGCUUGAGCCUAGAAGUUCAAGGCUGCAGUGAGCCAUGAUCUUGCCACUGCACUCUGGUCUGGGUGACAGAGCCAGACCUUGUCUCAA